UGUAUUUUUGGUUAAUCCUAUUGUGUUCAAUUUUUCUGAGUUCAGCGGAGGAGGAAAUUCAAGAAAAAACACUGAGCUCAGGAUGGAAAACUUUACUCAGUAACGUUUUUGAAGAGGACGAUAUUGAAGAGGGAGAGGGACGACUUGGGUUCGUCCAACUCAACUCAGGAUCUACGAGCUUUAACACUACACUUAAUCUUACAGGUCCUAUACUUCUUGGAUUAGGUAUAGCUGCAGCCACACUAUUCUACGCUUACUUCAACGCAUUUCAAGGGAGCUCCGGGUAUAAUCGAAACAAAAGGUUUGUCCUCGAACCUGAGCUUACUAAUCUUCAAGAUAGCCUUCAUGCUCUAUAUUCUACUCAAGAAGAUAGUUAUCAGCAGAAGUGGGAAAAUGCGCAAGAAAUUGAAAAAAUACCGCAACAUAAAGUGAUCCAUAUCAACAAAGACGAUUGUACAUUAUACCAGAAAUGUUUGAAUGAGAAAGGUAAUUCACAAGAUGAGCUUUUCACAAACGUUUCUUAUGAAAAAUGUGAUAAUUUUCUAAGAUCAUGUAAAGAACAGACAAAGUUUACGGAUCUUACCAAAAAUUAAUUUUGGACUCUUGGCUCUGUUCGAAUAUGUUGGACUAUUAAAGGUUGAUGGCGUAAAACUUUGAAGUUUAUAAAUUGGAAACAGAGGUAGCAAGGGGCCCCCCAUAGUGACAGUUCAUUCUAAAAGAUUCCAGGAAACCUGAAAAUUUUGUUUUUGAUGACAUGUCUAAAUUUAAGAGUGAUAUUUCUGGAGAGAAAUUGAAUCCUUUUGUUCAACUUUAAUCAAAGUCUUUCUAAAUCUUUCAAGAUUUAAACUUUAAUAAUGAAUCAAAGAUUUAAACUUGGAUCAUUCACACUCAGCGACAUAUUGUAAUUAAUCAAACCAAUAAAAUUAUAUUAUUCAAUUGUUAAAAGGGAUUGCCGUAUGUAACUUCAAGUGGUCCUCCGAUUCACAAUAGCACCCUUCACACAACUUUAACUGGUCAGUAAUAUAGAGGAUAUUGUCGUUUUUUUUUCUUCAAAUUUGUUCUGCAGACAGUUCCGCAAGUCAGUUUUAAAGAGAAACAUAAAAAAGAAUUAAUUAAUCAAAAAAAUAAAAAAAAAUAAACGCAUUAUUUUUGCUCUGAAAAAGAUUCCACUCUUGAAAUAGAAAUAAUUCAGUAUCUCUAAAAUCAAGAGAAUGUAAAAGUAGAUCAGUUAGACUAACUUCCUCAAAUAAAUACAACGCGUUGUCAAAAUGCAAAACAAUGCUGAACAAUAAACAUAUAGUAAUGCAAUGUUAACAGAAACUUACUUAAUGUUCGUAAUACCGGACAAUAACUUCAUCAUUUGUAUGUUUGUUUGUUUGUAUCCAAUAAACGUCAAAACUGGCUGAACCGAUCAGGGUCAGCUUUUAUGUGGGA